GUGCUUGCUUCAGCAGCUCAUAUGUUAAAAUUGAAAUGAUACAGAGAAGAUGAGCAUGACCCCUGCCCAAAGAUGACAUACAAAUACGUGAAGCGUUCCAUAUCUUU
ensembl:snRNA U6 U6 spliceosomal RNA